CCAGCAAUGCCGCGUGCAGGACGAAGGCCUUCGGGUUGUAAACUGCUUUUGUACGGAACGAAACGGUCUCUCCUAAUACGAGGGGCUAAUGACGGUACCGUAAGAAUAAGCACCGGCUAACUACGUGCCAGCAGCCGCGGUAAUACGUAGGGUGCAAGCGUUAAUCGGAAUUACUGGGCGUAAAGCGUGCGCAGGCGGUUAUAUAAGACAGAUGUGAAAUCCCCGGGCUCAACCUGGGACCUGCAUUUGUGACUGUAUAGCUAGAGUACGGUAGAGGGGGAUGGAAUUCCGCGUGUAGCAGUGAAAUGCGUAGAUAUGCGGAGGAACACCGAUGGCGAAGGCAAUCCCCUGGACCUGUACUGACGCUCAUGCACGAAAGCGUGGGGAGCAAACAGGAUUAGAUACCCUGGUAGUCCACGCCCUAAACGAUGUCAACUGGUUGUUGGGUCUUCACUGACUCAGUAACGAAGCUAACGCGUG
rnacentral:rRNA from 1 species